UACGUAGGGGGCGAGCGUUGUCCGGAAUGAUUGGGCGUAAAGGGCGCGUAGGCGGCCUGUCAAGUCAGUAGUGGAAGUCCAUCUUUCAAGGAUGGAAGUGCUACAGAAACUGCGGAGCUUGAGUGCAGGAGAGGUUAUCGGAAUUCCCGGUGUAGCGGUGAAAUGCGUAGAGAUCGGGAGGAACACCAGUGGCGAAGGCGGGUAACUGGACUGCAACUGACGCUGAGGCGCGAAAGUGUGGGGAGCAAACAGGAUUAGAUACCCGU
rnacentral:rRNA from 1 species